UCAAUAAAUAUUUGUAGAAU
rnacentral:piRNA from 2 species